UGGGGAAUAUUGCACAAUGGGCGAAAGCCUGAUGCAGCAACGCCGCGUGAGGGAUGACGGCCUUCGGGUUGUAAACCUCUUUUAGUAGGGAAGAAGCGAAAGUGACGGUACCUGCAGAAAAAGCACCGGCUAACUACGUGCCAGCAGCCGCGGUAAUACGUAGGGUGCAAGCGUUGUCCGGAAUUAUUGGGCGUAAAGAGCUCGUAGGCGGUUUGUCGCGUCUGCUGUGAAAUCCGGAGGCUCAACCUCGGGUCUGCAGUGGGUACGGGCAGACUAGAGUGUGGUAGGGGAGAUUGGAAUUCCUGGUGUAGCGGUGGAAUGCGCAGAUAUCAGGAGGAACACCGAUGGCGAAGGCAGAUCUCUGGGCCAUUACUGACGCUGAGGAGCGAAAGCAUGGGGAGCGAACA
rnacentral:rRNA from 1 species